GUAGUUAGCCGGGGCUUCCUUCUCAUUUACCGUCUCUUGCUCUUCAACAAGGACAGAGGUUUACGAUCCGAAGACCUUCUUCCCUCACGCGGCGUUGCUGGGUCAGGGUUUCCCCCAUUGCCCAAUAUUCCCCACUGCUGCCUCCCGUAGGAGUCUGGACCGUGUCUCAGUUCCAGUGUGGCCGAUCACCCUCUCAGGUCGGCUACCCAUCGUUGGCUAGGUGGGCCGUUACCCCGCCUACUACCUAAUGGGACGCGAACCCCUCCUUUAGCGGAUUUCUCCUUUGACCUCUGUGUCAUGCGGCACUGUGGUCUUAUGCGGUAUUAGCACCUGUUUCCAAGUGUUAUCCCCCUCUAAAGGGCAGGUUGUUCACGCGUUACUCACCCGUUCGCCACUAAAGUAUCAACCGAAAUCAAUACUUCCGUUCGACUUGCAUGUGUUAGGCACGCCGCCAGCGUUCGUCCUGAGCACGAUACAACUACUCGA
rnacentral:rRNA from 1 species